rnacentral:rRNA from 1 species
GAAAGGAACAACGAUUUAUUGACUAUUUCUGAUUGACUCCCCAAAUUAACAAAAUCGUAAAAACUCGAUUAACAUAAAGCAGGACGACAAGACCCUAUCGAACUUUACUACUAAUUAGUUCAACUGGGGCGGUACAAAAACCAAAUCUUUUUCUCAAAUCCAAAUCCACGCUAUAACUAGAAAUAAAACAAGUUACCGUAGGGAUAACAGCAUAAUAAUUUACUAAAGCUCCCAUAAAAUAAAUUGAUUAUGACCUCGAUGUUGAAUUAAUAAUUCUACUUUUAGAAAAAAAAAAAAAAGAAAGUCUGUUCGACUUACAACCAAUUACAU